rnacentral:rRNA from 1 species
GCGUAUAGAACCUACCUUAUAGUAAGGGAUAGCCCAGAGAAAUUUGGAUUAAUACCUUAUAGUAUGAUAAGAUGGCAUCAUUUAAUCAUUAAAGAUUUAUUGCUAUAAGAUGGCUAUGCGUUCUAUUAGCUAGUUGGUAUGGUAACGGCAUACCAAGGCAACGAUAGAUAGGGGUCCUGAGAGGGAGAUCCCCCACACUGGUACUGAGACACGGACCAGACUCCUACGGGAGGCAGCAGUGAGGAAUAUUGGACAAUGGAGGCAACUCUGAUCCAGCCAUGCCGCGUGUAGGAAGACUGCCCUAUGGGUUGUAAACUACUUUUAUAGAGGAAGAAACAGUUCCACGUGUGGAACUCUGACGGUACUCUACGAAUAAGGAUCGGCUAACUCCGUGCCAGCAGCCGCGGUAAUACGGAGGAUCCAAGCGUUAUCCGGAAUCAUUGGGUUUAAAGGGUCCGUAGGCGGGUCUGUAAGUCAGUGGUGAAAGUUUUCGGCUCAACCGGAAAAUUGCCAUUGAUACUGCAGGUCUUGAAUCAUUAUGAAGUGGUUAGAAUAAGUAGUGUAGCGGUGAAAUGCAUAGAUAUUACUUAGAAUACCGAUUGCGAAGGCAGAUCACUAAUAAUGUAUUGACGCUAAGGGACGAAAGCGUGGGUAGCGAACAGGAUUAGAUACCCUGGUAGUCCACGCCGUAAACGAUGGUUACUAGCUGUUCGGACUUCGGUCUGAGUGGCUAAGCGAAAGUGAUAAGUAACCCACCUGGGGAGUACGUUCGCAAGAAUGAAACUCAAAGGAAUUGACGGGGGCCCGCACAAGCGGUGGAGCAUGUGGUUUAAUUCGAUGAUACGCGAGGAACCUUACC